UGAGUUUGAAGAGGAAAAUGGAGUGAAUGAAAGAUGGCUGCCAGAGCAGGAACACUGUGCAACAGGACUCCAACAAGUGAGCUCUGCAACAGCAGCCUGGGUCCAGCGUGUUUGAAAUGAGCGUUCUGUCCUGGAAAAGACGCUGAGCUACAGCGUUGAGGAUGCAGACAGAAGUGCUGAGGUAAGAUAGCUGUCUGACGGGCGAUGAAAAAUUCAUCGUUUACAGUAGCAUCAACACUUUCCCAGCAUGUGAGUAUAUAAAUCAUCUCCAACUUGCUCUUAUUGUUGAACUUUUUAGAGGGAAAACAUGGUAUGAAUUGUAUGACUUUGUGCGUGGUUCUGUGCUGUCAGAUGGAACCAUGUCUCACGUGGAUAAGAUCAAGCUUAGUAGCUUAAAUUGGUUUGUGCAUUGGUUCCUGUUUCUGAAGCAUGUGCCAGUGUCACAGCAGGAUCCGGGCCCCUGCUGGUCGAAGCAAGAGGUUUCAACCUGACGAGACCUCGAAGUUCCAGCUGGUACCAGCUGUCAGGAAGCAAAAGCAGCAUGAACAUCAGCUUUGUUCAGGCCUAACCAGAGGGGUGCAGCUGGAAAAUCCAUUCCCACUCUCACUAAAGAACAGCACCGCAGGAAGAGAAGACCGGGUCGACAAAACCGCAGUUUCUUGUGGGUAUCACUUCAUCGGAGUUCAUGAGGAGACGUAGCAGCGAAGAAAACAGGGAACCUUAAGUGCAGGAGUUCCUGGUCCAUUGAUCACACUGAUGCACAAGAC